UGGGGAAUAUUGCACAAUGGGCGAAAGCCUGAUGCAGCGACGCCGCGUGAGGGAUGACGGCCUUCGGGUUGUAAACCUCUUUCAGCAGGGACGAAGCGUGAGUGACGGUACCUGCAGAAGAAGCACCGGCUAACUACGUGCCAGCAGCCGCGGUAAUACGUAGGGUGCGAGCGUUGUCCGGAAUUAUUGGGCGUAAAGAGCUCGUAGGCGGUUUGUUGCGUCGGCUGUGAAAACUUCACGCUUAACGUGGAGCCUGCAGUCGAUACGGGCAGACUUGAGUUCGGCAGGGGAGACUGGAAUUCCUGGUGUAGCGGUGAAAUGCGCAGAUAUCAGGAGGAACACCGGUGGCGAAGGCGGGUCUCUGGGCCGAUACUGACGCUGAGGAGCGAAAGCGUGGGGAGCGAACA
rnacentral:rRNA from 1 species